UGAGGAAUAUUGGUCAAUGGGCGAGAGCCUGAACCAGCCACGUCGCGUGAAGGAAGACUGACCUUACGGUUUGUAAACUUCUUUUGUAGAGGGGUAAUGGCAGAUACGUGUAUUUGCGUGAAAGUACUCUACGAAUAAGCAUCGGCUAACUCCGUGCCAGCAGCCGCGGUAAUACGGGGGAUGCGAGCGUUAUCCGGAAUUAUUGGGUUUAAAGGGUGCGCAGGUGGCUAAUCAGGUCAGUGGUGAAAAGCUAUGGCUCAACCAUGGUCUUGCCAUUGAAACCGUAUAGCUAGAGAGGAGACGAGGUAGGCGGAAUGUGUGGUGUAGCGGUGAAAUGCAUAGAUAUCACACAGAACUCCGAUUGCGAAGGCAGCUUACGGGAGCGCAACUGACGCUGAAGCUCGAAGGUGCGGGUAUCGAACAGG
rnacentral:rRNA from 1 species